AACUUCUUUAGGAGUUAUAGACAUCCACUACAAAGUAUAAUAUUUCAUAACAAAAAUAAAAUUAUACUCAUUAAUCCUAAACUAUUUACCCUUUAGUGUUCAUGUCAAACUAUUUACUACUUCUACCCAUGAGGCCUAAACUAUUUACCCUAUUUUUUCCUUUUCUCCUUUUUUCUUCUUCACGGAAGCAUCUGAAAAUACAGUGAAAUGAAAAAAAAAAGAAAUAGCAAAGAGAGAUAGUCAUGGAUGCAGAAGAAGGAACACAACAACUCCAGCUAAUUCUUGCUCACAAACUCUUAUUUUUGACACAUCCAGAUAUCGAUGACUUGGAUGAAGUUCGCCUCAGUGGAGAAGACUUGGACAAACUCUUCCAUUUCCCUUAUAUCCUUCUUCAAAAAAAAAUUAGAUCUAAUUAUCUGAGAAGUCGACCUCUACCUAGUUUUAAUUCUACUUCACUUUUUUCUAUUGUUCUUUCCCUAGCUCUUGCUCUUGCCUUGACCCUUAAAUUUAAAUUUUCAUUUUGAAGAUUUCUUGUUUGAUUCAAAGUGGGUGUUGUUAAAUAUUGCUUAUAGUACCUUCUGAAAGUUCAUACUAAAAUUUGAUAGCAUUUGAGUUGAUUUGAGGUGAUUGAGAUCAAAAUUUUCAGGUGAAAAUCGAAGAAAAACACAACUAAAGUAUACGCUACGAUAUACAAUAUGUUCUAGGAGUAUAUUUUUUUUUUUUGGUAAUUAAACUUUGUAUUAAUCACCAAAGUGUUAACCUUACAAUUCCAUAGUCCAGUUUAUAACUCAACUGGCUAUCAAAACAAAAACAAAGGCUAUCCUAGCAUUAUAGCAAAUACUGCUGCAGUAAUAUCUUUAGCCUCGAAGGAGCUCUAACAUUACAAUUACAAGCAAUAUUUCUAAGCAGUUUGUCACUGGUACUGUAUGUAUUUUCAAAUAUUCUCGCAUUCCUUUCCAGCCAUACUACAUAAAACAUCUCUGUCAUUGUCAUUUUGAUUAUGUGAGCUCGAGGGGAUUUGCCAUUAGAUN
rnacentral:lncRNA from 1 species